GACGAACGCUGGCGGCGUGCUUAACACAUGCAAGUCGAACGCUGAAGCUUGGUGCUUGCACUGGGUGGAUGAGUGGCGAACGGGUGAGUAAUACGUGAGUAACCUGCCCUUGACUCUGGGAUAAGCCUGGGAAACUGGGUCUAAUACUGGAUACGACAUGUCACCGCAUGGUGGUGUGUGGAAAGGGUUUUACUGGUUUUGGAUGGGCUCACGGCCUAUCAGCUUGUUGGUGGGGUAAUGGCUCACCAAGGCGACGACGGGUAGCCGGCCUGAGAGGGUGACCGGCCACACUGGGACUGAGACACGGCCCAGACUCCUACGGGAGGCAGCAGUGGGGAAUUUUGCACAAUGGGCGGAAGCCUGAUGCAGCGACGCCGCGUGAGGGAUGACGGCCUUCGGGUUGUAAACCUCUUUCAGCAAGGAAGAAGCGAAAGUGACGGUACGUGCAGAAGAAGCGCCGGCUAACUACGUG
rnacentral:rRNA from 1 species